AAGUCGUAACAAGGUUUCCGUAGGUGAACCUGCGGAAGGAUCAUUGUCGAUGCCUUAAACCAAUUUGACCAGUGAAUUUGUCUAUAUCUAAAGCACAAGGACUAGGCUAGUCCAUCCUUGUGUGUUGAGAGGGAGGGGGGUCAUGCCUUGUGCAACUGACCUACUCUCUCUUGACAAACAUUAACCCCGACGCUUCGUGCGUCAAGGAAUUUAAAGUUUAGUGCAAUUCUUAGGGACGAUGUCUCAUGAGUGUUGUCACGACACGUUAUUUAAAAUGACUCUCGGCAACGGAUAUCUCGGCUCUUGCAUCGAUGAAGAACGUAGCGAAAUGCGAUACUUGGUGUGAAUUGCAGAAUCCCGUGAACCAUCGAGUCUUUGAACGCAAGUUGCGCCCGAAGCCACUAGGUUGAGGGCACGCCUGCCUGGGUGUCACACAUCGUCACCCCCCCACGUACAUGUACAUUGGGGAGUGAAAGUUGACUUCCCACGAGCUUGUUCUCGUGGUUGGUUGAAAAUUAAGUUCAAAGUGGAGUUUGCCACGUAAAAUGGUGGAUGAGUGAUGCUCGAGACCAAUUGCGUGUGCAUGACUUUGGCAUAUUGGACUAGUUGACCCUAUGCGUCUUUGGUGAAAAUUGAAGGCGUUCUUAGCGAGACCUCAGGUCAGGCGGGGCUACCCGCUGAGUUUAA
rnacentral:rRNA from 1 species